GAGGCCGGGGCCGGCGUGCGGGCCGCCAGGCUGGCGGGCCAAGGGGGCGCAGCGUGAGAAUCCUCCCCGUCCGGCGCGCCGCCGCGCACACUCGCGAACUUUAAAGCCGGUUCGACCCGCUUGCCGUUGCGCUCCCAGGCGGCAGGCGGCCAGCUGCAAUCACUCGGACCCUCUCCGCCCCUCCGGGGGCUUCCGGAAAGUACGCGGGAAGACGGAGGCUUCGGCCCCCUCCCCCAUCACCACACCCAGCACCCCCCAAAUGCUGGGCUGCGGGGUCCAGGCGGCGCGAGAAGCACUCCGCAGGAACUCCCGCCGGGCCAGGGCGCCCCCUCCCCGGCACCCCGCAGGCACUGGCACGUCCACCGGCCGCGGCGAGAGAAGGAGGGACAAAAAGGAUCUUGUUUUCAAAAGUCUCACUCCAGCUCGGGGGAGGAACUAGGGGAAGAGGAAGCGAGGCCUGGCUGCGCCAGGGACUCAGGUUUAACGGGCCGGAGGGGCGACGGGUCCGCACUUGGGGGGUCACCCCCCCACCCCCCCGAGUCCCAACUCCGGGGCUUCCCAGAGCCUGCGAGGGUCCCGCCGGGGUCCGCACAGCAGCCCCCGGGGUUCCCCCCCCUUGCCGAGCCGCCAAGUCGCAAGAAAUAGCCACGCGUGAAAGCGAGCAGGAGCCAGGAACACGUCCCCCAGCUCGCCUUCCCCUCGUUGGGGUGCGCUCCGGCCUCCCAUCCGCGCAUUCCACACUGCAAUCAAAUGGAAAGCUUGAACACGAGACAAAGCUCCUCCCUGUCCAGUGCCGACUACGCAUGAAGCUGAACUCCUUCCUUUGCUACGGCCAGUCAUAGACCACAGCACGCGACGUGCACACACAGGGAAAAUCUCAAACCCACGGAUGCCUGAUCCUGAAAGCAGAGAGGUAACAAGUGCUCCAUGGUGCCUGAUGACGGGUGGCAGCAGGGCGAGCCUGGAACUGUGCUAACACGAGAAGGUAGGCAAAGACGUCUUCUGCACUGGUGUGUAUAGCGCCUCCUCCUGCUGGUGUCAGAACUGCAGCUUGGGGGACUGCACAACAGAGAAUUUCUACAGUCGAAGUAUCUGUAGAACCUACAUAUUAAAUCUAGGUGGAGUUGGCUUGAUAUAUUAUAGUUGCUCUAUAUUAAGUAAAAAGUCUGCAAAAGGAGAAGUUU